AGAAACUAACAAGGAUUCCCCUAGUAACUGCGAGUGAAGCGGGAAAAGCUCAAAUUUAAAAUCUGGCAGCCUUUGGUUGUCCGAGUUGUAAUCUAGAGAAGUGUUAUCCGCGCUGGACCGUGUACAAGUCUCCUGGAAUGGAGCGUCAUAGAGGGUGAGAAUCCCGUCUUUGACACGGACUGCCAGGGCUUUUGUGAUGCGCUCUCAAAGAGUCGAGUUGUUUGGGAAUGCAGCUCAAAAUGGGUGGUAAAUUCCAUCUAAAGCUAAAUAUUGGCGAGAGACCGAUAGCGAACAAGUACCGUGAGGGAAAGAUGAAAAGAACUUUGGAAAGAGAGUUAAACAGUACGUGAAAUUGCUGAAAGGGAAACGCUUGAAGUCAGUCGCGUUGUCCAGGGAUCAACCUUGCUUUUGCUUGGUGCACUUUCUGGUUGACGGGUCAGCAUCAAUUUUGACUGUUGGAAAAAGAUUAGGGGAAUGUGGCAUCUUUGGAUGUGUUAUAGCCCUUAGUUGUAUACAAUGGUUGGGAUUGAGGAACUCAGCACGCCGCAAGGCCGGGUUUUUAACCACGUACGUGCUUAGGAUGCUGGCAUAAUGGCUUUAAUCGACCCGUCUUGAAACACGGACCAAGGAGUCUAACAUGCCUGCGAGUGUUUGGGUGGAAAACCCGAGCGCGUAAUGAAAGUGAAAGUUGAGAUCCCUGUCGUGGGGAGCAUCGACGCCCAGACCAGACCUUUUGUGACGGUUCUGCGGUAGAGCAUGUAUGUUGGGACCCGAAAGAUGGUGAACUAUGCCUGAAUAGGGUGAAGCCAGAGGAAACUCUGGUGGAGGCUCGUAGCGAUUCUGACGUGCAAAUCGAUCGUCAAAUUUGGGUAUAGGGGCGAAAGACUAAUCGAACCAUCUAG
rnacentral:rRNA from 1 species